GCCCGGAACCGAUUUGAAAUAGCCCGCAGUAAAGAGAGAGAGAGUAACCCAUUUAUAGGUUUAGAGAAAUAGAAAGCACGAGAGAAGGGGAAAGUUCAGGAAAGAGGAGAGAAAGUGCAGCGCCUAUGGAAGAGAGAGAGAAACCCAUUUAGGCACGUCACGUCUUCCUACGAGUGGGAUGGAUUCCAUAGUGAGAGAGACUAAACGCAUCGGUCGAGAAGAGGGAGAAACACAGGAGUAUUAAAGAGGCGUAUUUAGGAGUAUUAAUGGGGCGUGCAGUUAGGACUGUUACAGAGGCGUGCAAUCUCUCAAUAGAGGCGUGCAAUCCCUCAAUUUGGUUAUCUUUCAGCCAUCAUGUAAGCUUCGUUUGGAUAUGAUUGAAAAGGGUGUGGUUUGCAUAAAGUUGCAACCUCAAAGUAUCAAAGGAAGGUGGACCUUCAUACUUGCUCCUGCGAUGUAAUUUUGGUGUCGGAAAUGUUAAAAUGGGCAGGUUGAGGCU